rnacentral:rRNA from 1 species
GACGAACGCUGGCGGCGUGCCUAAUACAUGCAAGUCGAGCGAACGGACGAGAAGCUUGCUUCUCUGAUGUUAGCGGCGGACGGGUGAGUAACACGUGGAUAACCUACCUAUAAGACUGGGAUAACUUCGGGAAACCGGAGCUAAUACCGGAUAAUAUUUUGAACCGCAUGGUUCAAAAGUGAAAGACGGUCUUGCUGUCACUUAUAGAUGGAUCCGCGCUGCAUUAGCUAGUUGGUAAGGUAACGGCUUACCAAGGCAACGAUGCAUAGCCGACCUGAGAGGGUGAUCGGCCACACUGGAACUGAGACACGGUCCAGACUCCUACGGGAGGCAGCAGUAGGGAAUCUUCCGCAAUGGGCGAAAGCCUGACGGAGCAACGCCGCGUGAGUGAUGAAGGUCUUCGGAUCGUAAAACUCUGUUAUUAGGGAAGAACAUAUGUGUAAGUAACUGUGCACAUCUUGACGGUACCUAAUCAGAAAGCCGCGGCUAACUACGUG